AGUCGUAACAAGGUCUCCGUAGGUGAACCUGCGGAGGGAUCAUUAAACUCAUCUCAAUUUAUUACCUGUAACCCGCCUUAAACCGGGCACACCGGGAACGGGCCUGAUAGACUUCACGGUUUGUCGGGUGGCAACCCAAUAACCAAAACCUUUUUUAACUUUGUCCAUUUCCCGGCUUCCGAAAGGUUGUCGGUUUUCCAUCAAACACCAUUACCGGUGGAUGACUCGGCUCA
rnacentral:misc_RNA from 1 species